rnacentral:rRNA from 1 species
GACGUAGGGCGCGAGCGUUGUCCGGAUUUAUUGGGCGUAAAGAGCUCGUAGGCGGCUUGUCGCGUCGGCUGUGAAAUCCCGUGGCUCAACUGCGGGUCUGCAGCCGAUACGGGCAGGCUAGAGUUCGGUAGGGGGGACUGGAAUUCCUGGUGUAGCGGUGAAAUGCGCAGAUAUCAGGAGGAACACCGGUGGCGAAGGCGGGUCUCUGGGCCGAUACUGACGCUGAGGAGCGAAAGCGUGGGGAGCGAACAGG